UACGAAGGGGGCUAGCGUUGCUCGGAAUCACUGGGCGUAAAGGGUGCGUAGGCGGGUCUUUAAGUCAGGGGUGAAAUCCUGGAGCUCAACUCCAGAACUGGCCUUUGAUACUGAAGAUCUUGAGUUCGGGAGAGGUGAGUGGAACUGCGAGUGUAGAGGUGAAAUUCGUAGAUAUUCGCAAGAACACCAGUGGCGAAGGCGGCUCACUGGCCCGAUACUGACGCCUGAGGCACGAAAGCGUGGGGAGCAACAGG
rnacentral:rRNA from 1 species